GGAAAGGUAGCCAUAGGUAGGGCAAGAUAUUUGCUAAAUAUUGUGUGAAAACAUUUGGGCGUUCGAAUCGUCUUCUUUCCG
rfam:Colletotrichum orbiculare MAFF 240422 contig03466, whole genome shotgun sequence.